CAGCACUAUCACUUCCAAAAGACAGCAAUUACCUCCCUCUCUUGUGGAAACGGUGGACCAGUGUGCUUGCCAAGCAGAGAUGAGACAGAUGAUCUUUUCUACUGUUUUGACAGCAAGUGAAGAACUGAAAGUGUGUCUGAACCACAAUUACAGACGCGCAUUCAUCCGCUAUCCCAUGAUCUGACGUCCUGACAGCUGACGAAUGUAAAGUGACAGUGGCCGAGAUAGAGAAACACGCAGACCUCAUUAUAACUUCAAGGCUGGCAGACAGUGCAUUGCACCUACAAUUAUGCGGUGGGUUCUACCAAAAGACAACAACAUGAAAAAAAAAGAAGAAGAAGGAGAAGAUGAAGAGGAAGAGGAAGAAGAAGACCCAAUAAAGGAGGAGGGGAAAAGCAGGAGGGCAGAUCGCAAGUUCGCAGCCUGCAGGGAGUCUGAUUUCUGCGGCAGCUGUUUGUCGACUCGAGGGGGAGAUGUCGGUGAAAAGAAGUCCCUUUAUUAAGACACUUUAAACUGACCAUCUGCACAGCUUUCUGCACAUCCGCCGAGAUCGCGCCAUUGUGGGCAAACAAAUGCUGCACGGUAUAAAACCACCUUUCAUUAACUGACUUUAGAGGAACGAGUGCAAAAACCGCUCGUGGCUAAAUCAAUCUCGCCAAGAUCUGAUCUCAGCUUUUAAUUAAUUUCUAAUGCAUUAAAAAAUAUAUAUUACGUACUAGUGCCUCUUUCUGUGGUUUAUAUAACAUACAUAGGUUUAAUCACUGCAGACAGAUUUUAAAAGCAUGCAAUAAAAUGUAACUGAAAAUGACAGAAGA